CCGGUUUCAAAAUUCUCUUCAUACCGUUUCAAGCACAAAAUCCGUAUCUGAAAAUCAAAAAGUCACCAUAUUGAAACGCUGCUUCUUAUUAACAAUCUAUAAAAGCAACAGAAGAAACCGUAUUUGAUUUUUCACUCUCUCCUCUACAGUGGGUCUAUGUGGAUUAACAAUGGCUCUUGAGUUCGAUCGAGUUUCUUUACAGUAUCCACCAUUCACUUGUGUCAAAUCAGUUUUUCAGAGUAUGGCUUCCAUAUUUUGACUACAAUUCUUAUCAGAAAGCACGAUAGUAAUAAGUGACAAAGAUGCAAAAAACAUAAUAGUUGUCCUCCACUUUUGGUUAGAGGCUGAAGAUGAACUUUCUAAGUUGGACAUUAAAUUCAGCAGCGGCACAAUAUAAUCUUGAGGGAAGAAAGCCUUUUCAAGAAAUGGUUCUGUUCCGUUACUAAGAGACGCAAUGACUGUUACUCUUCUAUUGUUCCAUUACUGAAAUAGUUUGAAGUUUUGAACUUUAGAUUUGUCUCCUUUUAUGAGACUUUACAAAUCUUAGUUUUGUUGGUUAUUGGGGAUGUUUCACCGUCUCUGAAAUAAUUAAAAAAAAUUGACUUUAGAUUCUU